rnacentral:rRNA from 1 species
GGUAGCUAUGAACGGAAGGGAUAAACGCUGAAAGCAUCUAAGUGUGAAGCCCCCCUCGAGAUGAGAUUUCCCAUUCCUAUAUGGAAGUAAGACCCCUGAGAGAUGAUCAGGUAGAUAGGCUGGAAGUGGAAGUGCAGCGAUGCAUGGAGCGGACCAGUACUAAUCGGUCGAGGACUUAACCAAG